GUAUGAGGCCGUGAACUGUCAACUGAAUCUCACUUCACUCUCUGCUAUUGGGGGCCUGGGGGCCAAAUUCUCCACUGAUAGACAGCCGAUGGGGUGCCAAAAUGACAGCACACUCUUCUCCUCACAGCUCCCUCCCUUCACACUGACUGCAUCCCAAAAGACAAAAUGGGCCCUGGUCAAAACUAGUGCACUAUACAGGGAAUAGAGUGCUAUUUGAGAUGCUACCAGUGCCGGCAGCAGCACUGUGUUCAUGCACAGAUGUGUUAGAAAUGACCAGACAAUCCGAUUUCACCAAAUAUCCCUCCAAAAUGAUUUCAGGUCACCUUCAUUUAUGAGUCUUAGAAGAGAACGUGAUGAAACAAUGAUGAUAAAAUGACACCUGUUAAGAUGAUAACAAUUCAGGAAGAGAGAGAGACGGAGAAAAAGAGGACGAUAAAAAGAGAGUUGGAGGAGACAGACAGACAGGACGUGAGAGGAGUGAAGUUGUUCUUUUGGCACCUCUGGUUGGGCUGAGGGAAUUGUGGGAAGGUUUCUGGAGGGCACUGGCUAAAGACCAUGACAAGAGGUUAAGGGUAAAGGCUUUCAACUCAGAGACGGACAACUUCAAGCUGCCGUACGGGGGCCACCAGUACCACGCCAGCUGUGCCAAUUUCUGGAUUAACUGCGUGGAGCCCAAACCGCCGGGCCUCAUUCUGCCCGACCUGCUCUGAACUGCAGACAACCGCUGCCAUGGCAACGGGCGCCAGGUAAUCAACACCGGCGAGGUGCAACAGCCGGGCUCCCCACCGCACACCUCACACCUUGGGCUGCGAAUACAGAGAUCACAGAGAGACCUCAGAAGUCACUGGAAUCAUCUUUAUUUAUUUGCCUUUUAUUCUCUCUCUUUCUCUCUCAGAGGUACUCUGUGCUCUUUGCAGCGGUGAAGAAGUGCAAAUCUGCUAGUUUGUACAAAUUCAAGGCUUGACACAGUAAAGACUAUUCUGUAUCAUAAUGUAUUGUAAAAUUAUACUUUAUAAAUGGUGUCAUUUUCUCAUUUUUCCUUCUUUUUUUUCCAUUGUCUGGUCUCAUAUACAGUAUAAUGCAAUAGAAGUUACAAGUUGGCAUUUUAGCAUUGAUGCUUAUGCGACUUCUCUGGCAGGAUUUAUUUUGGCAAACAUUAUUCAGAUAAUGAACCAAUGUUGUGCUACGGUAACCCAGAGGAGGUCUAGUCCCUAUGUCAGAGCAGGGGAAAAUGUGGACACUUAUAUGAAUGGGGUAAUGGGUCUCAACGUUUUCUGUAAUGCACUCUUUCUGUGACUCAACAAGUCCAUAACAAACUAUUAAAACUGUGCAAUAUACUACUAAUGAAGGAACUUGGAGACAAACUGAAGUGUAAAGUUAUCUGUCGUUUCCCUUGAUUGUCACUUGUUGCUUUGUUACUGUUUAAUGCUUGAGGGACUGUGUUGGUGUUUCGGUCUUAAAGUAGUAUUUUGUCCUUUGUUCUUCUCGAGUCGGGGUUGUGGUAUCAUCACACUGCUGGAACUGAAUCAAUUUUACGGUCGGGUCUCUAAAAGGAUAGUCUAUGGUUGCUAACAUUUUAAUUCAUAUUUAACUUUUUAGGUAUUGUGUGACAUUAACUGCUUUUUAAUGUCUUUGUAUUGUUUGAAAAGGAUUGCUUUAUCUAAAUGAAUGUUAAUGUGCUGUUUGAAUUUUUUUGUGACAUUGGGACUUGAAAGGGAGUCUUAAUUCUUAAAGAUUGUUGGCUGUGGGUUUUGUUUUUCUGUCUUGCUGUGCCAGUGUAUAUAUACUCACACUGAUGGGGAUGUUUUGGCAGAUCUAAGUCUUGAAUGAAGUCAACUAUGAUUAUGGACUACUAUUGCAGCAGCACUUUGUGUGGAUUACAGUAUCAUAGUGUUGUAAUUACAAUGACUAACUGUAAUGUGAAGUGAUGACAUAUACAUAAAUAAUACAUUGAUGCAUAAAUUAAAUACAUUUCAUGGUCAUUAAUCAAUUAAUCAAUGAAUGUAUUACCUGGAAGCCUAUUACCAU
rnacentral:lncRNA from 1 species